rnacentral:rRNA from 1 species
UACGAGAGACUGCAAGCGUUAUUCGGAUUCACUGGGCGUAAAGGGUGCGCAGGCGGCCGAGUGUGUGAGGCGUGAAAGCCCGGGGCUUAACCCCGGAAUUGCACCUCAAACUACACGGCUAGAGCAUUGGAGAGGGUAGCAGAAUUCAUGGUGUAGCAGUGAAAUGCGUAGAUAUCAUGAGGAAUACCAGAGGCGAAGGCGGCUACCUGGACAAUUGCUGACGCUCAGGCACGAAAGCGUGGGGAGCAAAAGGG